rnacentral:rRNA from 1 species
AAAUGCUGCCUUCUGACGUUAGCGGCGAACGGGUGAGUAACACGAUAAGGAAUCUACCUAUAAGCCGGGGGAUAACAUUCGGAAACGGGUGCUAAUACCGCAUAAUAUCUUCUUCCGCAUGGAAGAAGAUUGAAAGACGGCUCUGCUGUCACUUAUAGAUGACCUUGCGGUGCAUUAGUUAGUUGGUGGGGUAACGGCCUACCAAGACGAUGAUGCAUAGCCGACCUGAGAGGGUGAUCGGCCACAUUGGGACUGAGACACGGCCCAAACUCCUACGGGAGGCAGCAGUAGGGAAUCUUCCGCAUGGGCGAAAAGCCUGACGGAGCAAUGCCGCGUGAGUGAAGAAGGCCUUCGGGGUCGUAAAACUCUGUUUAUAAGAGAAGAACAAUUGUAGAGUAACUGCUACAGUCUUGACGGUAUCUUAUCAAAAGCCACGGCUAAACUACGUGCCACCAGCCGCGGGUAAUACGUAAGGUGGCAAGCGGUUGUCCGGAUUUAUUGGGCGUAAAGGGAGCGCAG